rnacentral:rRNA from 1 species
UCGCCCAAGAGAUCGGGAUAACACCUAGGAAACAGAUGCUAAUACCGGAUAACAACAGAUGAUGCCUAUCAACUGUUUAAAAGAUGGUUCUGCUAUCACUCUUGGAUGGACCUGCGGUGCAUUAGCUAGUUGGUAGGGUAACGGCCUACCAAGGCGAUGAUGCAUAGCCGAGUUGAGAGACUGAUCGGCCACAUUGGGACUGAGACACGGCCCAAACUCCUACGGGAGGCAGCAGCA